rnacentral:rRNA from 1 species
CCAGCACCUGCGGUAAUUCCAGCUCUAAUAGCGUAUAUUAAAGUUGUUGCAGUUAAAAAGCUCGUAGUCGGAUGUCGGGCUCGGGGAGGCUGUCGGCCUUUGGUCGGAUGGCAUGUCCGGGCCUUUCUGCCUGGGGAUCCUACUCUACUUAACUGUAGGGUAGUGAGUCACAGGCCGUUUACUUUGAAAAAAUUAGAGUGUUCAAAGCAGGCUAUUGCUUGAAUAUAUUAGCAUGGAAUAAUGGAAUAGGACUUUGGUGCUAUUUCGUUGGUUAUGGGACCGAGGUAAUGAUUAAUAGGGACAGUUGGGGCCGUUCAUAUUUCGUUGUCAGAGGUGAAAUUCUUGGAUUUACGAACGAUGAACUUAUGCGAAAGCAUUCGGCAAGGAUGUUUUCAUUGAUCAAGAACGAAAGU